rnacentral:siRNA from 1 species
CAAAGACAUUAUCCGAGUGCCA